CACGUAGGGCGCAAGCGUUGUCCGGAAUUAUUGGGCGUAAAGAGCUCGUAGGCGGUCUGUUGCGUCCGCUGUGAAAACUCGGGGCUUAACCCCGAGCCUGCAGUGGAUACGGGCAGACUAGAGGUAGGUAGGGGAGAAUGGAAUUCCCGGUGUAGCGGUGGAAUGCGCAGAUAUCGGGAGGAACACCAAUGGCGAAGGCAGCUCGCUGGGACGGUACUGACGCUGAGACGCGAAAGCGUGGGUAGCAAACGGG
rnacentral:rRNA from 1 species